rnacentral:rRNA from 1 species
UACGAAGGGUGCAAGCGUUACUCGGAAUUACUGGGCGUAAAGCGUGCGUAGGUGGUUUGUCGCGUCGGCUGUGAAAACCUGGGGCUCAACCCCGGGCCUGCAGCCGAUACGGGCAAACUAGAAUUCGGUAGGGGAGACUGGAAUUCCUGGUGUAGCGGUGAAAUGCGCAGAUAUCAGGAGGAACACCGGUGGCGAAGGCGGGUCUCUGGGCCGAUAUUGACGCUGAGGAGCGAAAGCGUGGGGAGCAAACAGG